rnacentral:rRNA from 1 species
CUGAAUACAUAGGUUAACGAGGCGAACCGGGGGAACUGAAACAUCUAAGUACCCCGAGGAAAAGAAAUCAACCGAGAUUCCCCCAGUAGCGGCGAGCGAACGGGGAGCAGCCCGGAGUCUGAAUCAGCUUGUGUGUUAGUGGAACGGUCUGGAAAGUCCGACGGUACAGGGUGAUAGUCCCGUACACGAAAAUGCACAUGCUGUGAACUCGAAGAGUAGGGCGGGACACGUGGUAUCCUGUCUGAAUAUGGGGGGACCAUCCUCCAAGGCUAAAUACUCCUGACUGACCGAUAGUGAACCAGUACCGUGAGGGAAAGGCGAAAAGAACCCCGGCGAGGGGAGUGAAAAAGAACCUGAAACCGUGUACGUACAAGCAGUGGGAGCCUCUUUAUGGGGUGACUGCGUACCUUUUGUAUAAUGGGUCAGCGACUUAUAUUCUGUAGCAAGGUUAACCGUAUAGGGGAGCCGAAGGGAAACCGAGUCUUAACUGGGCGUUAAGUUGCAGGGUAUAGACCCGAAACCCGGUGAUCUAGCCAUGGGCAGGUUGAAGGUUGGGUAACACUAACUGGAGGACCGAACCGACUAAUGUUGAAAAAUUAGCGGAUGACCUGUGGCUGGGGGUGAAAGGCCAAUCAAACCGGGAGAUAGCUGGUUCUCCCCGAAAGCUAUUUAGGUAGCGCCUCGUGAACUCAUCUUCGGGGGUAGAGCACUGUUUCGGCUAGGGGGCCAUCCCGGCUUACCAACCCGAUGCAAACUACGAAUACCGAAGAAUGUUAUCACGGGAGACACACGGCGGGUGCUAACGUCCGUCGUGAAGAGGGAAACAACCCAGACCGCCAGCUAAGGUCCCAAAGUCAUGGUUAAGUGGGAAACGAUGUGGGAAGGCACAGACAGCCAGGAUGUUGGCUUAGAAGCAGCCAUCAUUUAAAGAAAGCGUAAUAGCUCACUGGUCGAGUCGGCCUGCGCGGAAGAUGUAACGGGGCUAAACCAUGCACCGAAGCUGCGGCAGCGACACUAUGUGUUGUUGGGUAGGGGAGCGUUCUGUAAGCCGUUGAAGGUGUGCUGUGAGGCAUGCUGGAGGUAUCAGAAGUGCGAAUGCUGACAUAAGUAACGAUAAAGCGGGUGAAAAGCCCGCUCGCCGGAAGACCAAGGGUUCCUGUCCAACGUUAAUCGGGGCAGGGUGAGUCGACCCCUAAGGCGAGGCCGAAAGGCGUAGUCGAUGGGAAACAGGUUAAUAUUCCUGUACUUGGUGUUACUGCGAAGGGGGGACGGAGAAGGCUAUGUCAGCCGGGCGACGGUUGUCCCGGUUUAAGCAUGUAGGCGGAGGUUCCAGGUAAAUCCGGUACCUUAUUAACGCUGAGGUGUGAUGACGAGGCACUACGGUGCUGAAGUGAUAAAUGCCCUGCUUCCAGGAAAAGCCUCUAAGCAUCAGGUAACACGAAAUCGUACCCCAAACCGACACAGGUGGUCAGGUAGAGAAUACCAAGGCGCUUGAGAGAACUCGGGUGAAGGAACUAGGCAAAAUGGUGCCGUAACUUCGGGAGAAGGCACGCUGAUGUGUAGGUGAAGCCCCUGCGGG